rnacentral:rRNA from 1 species
AACGAACGCUGGCGGCAUGCCUAACACAUGCAAGUCGAACGAGACCUUCGGGUCUAGUGGCGCACGGGUUCGUAACGCGUGGGAACCUGCCCUUAGGUUCGGAAUAACUCCCCGAAAGGGGUGCUAAUACCGGAUAAUGUCUUCGGACCAAAGAUUUAUCGCCUUUGGAUGGGCCCGCGUUGGAUUAGCUAGUUGGUAGGGUAAAAGCCUACCAAGGCGACGAUCCAUAGCUGGUCUGAGAGGAUGAUCAGCCACACUGGGACUGAGACACGGCCCAGACUCCUACGGGAGGCAGCAGUGGGGAAUAUUGGACAAUGGGCGAAAGCCUGAUCCAGCAAUGCCGCGUGAGUGAUGAAGGCCUUAGGGUUGUAAAGCUCUUUUACCCGGGAUGAUAAUGACAGUACCGGGAGAAUAAGCUCCGGCUAACUCCGU